CCUUCGAUAGCUCAGUUGGUAGAGCGGUGGACUGUAGAUGUAAAUAGUUGGACUGAUAUCCAUAGGUCGCUGGUUCAAAUCCGGCUCGAAGGA
rnacentral:tRNA from 1 species